rnacentral:rRNA from 1 species
GAUGAACGCUAGCGGCAGGCUUAACACAUGCAAGUCGAGGGGUAGUCAUCUUCGGAUGAUGAGACCGGCGCACGGGUGCGUAACGCGUAUACAAUCUACCUUUUACAGAGGGAUAGCCCAGAGAAAUUUGGAUUAAUACCUCAUAGCAUUGCAGAAUGGCAUCAUUCAGCAAUUAAAGUCACAACGGUAAAAGAUGAGCAUGCGUCCCAUUAGCUUGUUGGUAAGGUAACGGCUUACCAAGGCUACGAUGGGUAGGGGUCCUGAGAGGGAGAUCCCCCACACUGGUACUGAGACACGGACCAGACUCCUACGGGAGGCAGCAGUGAGGAAUAUUGGUCAAUGGACGCAAGUCUGAACCAGCCAUGCCGCGUGCAGGAUGACGGUCCUAUGGAUUGUAAACUGCUUUUGCACAGGAAGAAACAACAUUACGUGUAAUGUCUUGACGGUACUGUGAGAAUAAGGAUCGGCUAACUCCGUGCCAGCAGCCGCGGUAAUACGGAGGAUCCAAGCGUUAUCCGGAAUCAUUGGGUUUAAAGGGUCCGUAGGCGGUUUAGUAAGUCAGUGGUGAAAGCCCAUCGCUCAACGGUGGAACGGCUAUUGAUACUGCUAGACUUGAAUUAUUAGGAAGUAACUAGAAUAUGUAGUGUAGCGGUGAAAUGCUUAGAGAUUACAUGGAAUACCAAUUGCGAAGGCAGGUUACUACUAAUGGAUUGACGCUGAUGGACGAAAGCGUGGGUAGCGAACAGGAUUAGAUACCCUGGUAGUCCACGCCGUAAACGAUGGAUACUAGCUGUUGGAAGCAAUUUCAGUGGCUAAGCGAAAGUGAUAAGUAUCCCACCUGGGGAGUACGUUCGCAGAUGAA